rnacentral:rRNA from 1 species
CCAGACUCCUACGGGAGGCAGCAGUGAGGAAUAUUGGUCAAUGGCCGAGAGGCUGAACCAGCCAAGUCGCGUGAGGGAAGACGGCCCUACGGGUUGUAAACCUCUUUUGUCGGGGAGCAAAGCGAGUCACGUGUGACUCAUUGAGAGUACCCGAAGAAAAAGCAUCGGCUAACUCCGUGCCAGCAGCCGCGGUAAUACGGAGGAUGCGAGCGUUAUCCGGAUUUAUUGGGUUUAAAGGGUGCGUAGGCGGAAUGCCAAGUCAGCGGUAAAAUCGCGGGGCUCAACCUCGCUCCGCCGUUGAAACUGGCGUUCUUGAGUGGGCGAGAAGUAUGCGGAAUGCGUGGUGUAGCGGUGAAAUGCAUAGAUAUCACGCAGAACUCCGAUUGCGAAGGCAGCAUACCGGCGCCCAACUGACGCUGAAGCACGAAAGCGUGGGUAUCGAACAGGAUUAGAUACCCUAGUA